rnacentral:rRNA from 1 species
UACGUAAGGGGCGAGCGUUAUCCGGAUUUAUUGGGCAUAAAGCGCACGUAGGCGGCCAUUUAAGUCAGAUGUUAAAUCCUUCAGCUCAACUGAAGUCCGCAUUUGAUACUGAUUGGCUAGAGUACAGGAGAGGAAAGCGGAACUCACGGUGUAGCGGUGAAAUGCGUAGAUAUCGUGAGGAACACCAGUUGCGAAGGCGGCUUUCUGGACUGUUACUGACGCUCAGGUGCGAAAGCGUGGGGAGCAAACGGG